UAUAAUGAGAUGGCAUAGACUCAUUUCUCCCUGCACAUCCUUGUCAUUGCUGCUUCCGGUGAGCUUCAACUGUGGUGAAGAAAGAAACCCACAUACCUAACAACAACAUAAGAGAGAAAGAAAAAAAUACAUUUAGCAAAGGUACAAGCAACAUGUUACAUGAUCACUGAGGAAGAAGCAGAUGUGUUAAAGUGUAAAAAGGAAGCUGUGAAAGAGAUAUCAAAAAUAGGAGGAAGAGAGAGAGAGAAAAUGAAAGAAGAUGUGUAAUCCUGGGCUCUAGCUACAUGGCCUCUGAUGUGGUGAACUGCAGACAGAGCAGUGUGGCAGCUGAAUGACAAACGCAGCAAACUGGAACAACAUGAACCCUCCGUAACUUUAACAUCAUAGCUGAUUAAGUUUUCUGGCAUGUAAAAUGCAUCCACUGUGAGAAAUUCUGUAUCUCAGACAUGACUCACUGUUUAGCAUGUUUAUACCAUUAGGAAAUACUAAAGAUGUUUCCUCAAGCGUAUGAUUGUAUUAUAAGAGCACAUGUAAAAGCACUUAUUUUGAUAGUAAAGAGUGGCUACCAGUAGCUUAGGUUUGCCACAAGAAUCUCUAUAUUCAAU
rnacentral:lncRNA from 1 species